UUAAACGGCCGCGGUAUUCUAACCGUGCAAAGGUAGCGUAAUCACUUGUCUUCUAAAUAAAGACCAGUAUGAACGGCUAAAUGAGGAUGAACCUGUCUCCUGCAACCAAUCAGUGAAACUGAUCUUCCAGUCCAAAAGCUGGAAUAUAAACAUAAGACGAGAAGACCCUGUGGAGCUUAAAACUAAGUACUACAAAACAACUAGUAUCACAUUUUAAGUUGGGGCGACUUCGGAACAAAACAGAACUUCCGAGCACAGAACCACUACUUCUUACUAAGGCCAACAAGCCAAAGAUACCAGACCCAGUCACACUGAUCAACGAACCAAGUUACCCCAGGGAUAACAGCGCCAUCUUCUUCAAGAGUUCCUAUCGACAAGAAGGUUUACGACCUCGAUGUUGGAUCAGGACACCCAAAUGGUGCAGCCGCUAUUAAAGGUUCGUUUGUUCAACGAUUAAUAGUC
rnacentral:rRNA from 1 species